rnacentral:rRNA from 1 species
AGUUGUAAUUUGCAGAGGGAGCUUUCGAGUCGGCAGCGGUCUAAGUUCCUUGGAACAGGACGUCACAGAGGGUGAGAAUCCCGUACGUGGUCGCAGGCCUUCUCGAGGUAAAGCCCCUUCGACGAGUCGAGUUGUUUGGGAAUGCAGCUCUAAAUGGGAGGUAAAUUUCUUCUAAAGCUAAAUACUGGCCAGAGACCGAUAGCGCACAAGUAGAGUGAUCGAAAGAUGAAAAGCACUUUGGAAAGAGAGUCAAAUAGCACGUGAAAUUGUUGAAAGGGAAGCGCUUGCAGCCAGACUUGCCUGUAGUUGCUCAUCCGGGCUUUUGCCCGGUGCACUCUUCUGUAGGCAGGCCAGCAUCAGUUUGGGCGGUUGGAUAAAGGUCUCUGUCACGUACCUCCUCUCGGGGAGGCCUUAUAGGGGAGACGACAUGCAACCAGCCUGGACUGAGGUCCGCGCAUCUGCUAGGAUGCUGGCGUAAUGGCUGUAAGCGGCCCGUCUUGAAACACGGACCAAGGAGUCUAACAUCUAUGCGAGUGUUUGGGUGUCAAGCCCGAGCGCGCAAUGAAAGUGAACGGAGGUGGGAUCCCUUAAGGGUGCACCAUCGACCGAUCCUGAAGUCUUCGGAUGGAUUUGAGUAAGAGCAUGGCUGUUGGGACCCGAAAGAUGGUGAACUAUGCUUGAAUAGGGUGAAGCC